AACGAACGCUGGCGGCAUGCCUAACACAUGCAAGUCGAACGAGAUCUUCGGGUCUAGUGGCGCACGGGUGCGUAACGCGUGGGAAUCUGCCCUUUGGUUCGGAAUAACAGUUGGAAAUGACUGCUAAUACCGGAUGAUGACGAAAGUCCAAAGAUUUAUCGCCAGAGGAUGAGCCCGCGUAGGAUUAGCUAGUUGGUGUGGUAAAGGCGCACCAAGGCGACGAUCCUUAGCUGGUCUGAGAGGAUGAUCAGCCACACUGGGACUGAGACACGGCCCAGACUCCUACGGGAGGCAGCAGUGGGGAAUAUUGGACAAUGGGCGAAAGCCUGAUCCCGCAAUGCCGCGUGAGUGAUGAAGGCCUUAGGGUUGUAAAGCUCUUUUACCCGGGAUGAUAAUGACAGUACCGGGAGAAUAAGCUCCGGCUAACUCCGUGCCAGCCGCCGCAGUAA
rnacentral:rRNA from 1 species